rnacentral:sRNA from 1 species
CAUAUUUAGUCAUUCAUUUUUGAUCAGGAGAAAGAAGACAGCCAUCAUUUGAAAGGAUAUUGAAGAGAGAGGUCAAGUAAUUUAUUUGUUGAAGACCACAGAGCUGCCGUUGGAGGACCUGCCAAUCAAAUCCAGGUAAAGCUUCAGCGACUGAAGGAGUGUGGACUUUUUGAAUUUCAAGAACAGUAAAGUUGGAACACAGCAGAGGGUGUGUAAUAAAAUACAGCGUGACGACAGCAUGUACGAUCCCUGAAUGGGCCCGUGGG